CAGCAGCCGCGGUAAGACAGAGGAUGCAAGUGUUAUUCGGAUUGAUUGGGCGUAAAGCGUCUGUAGGCGGUUUAGAAAGUCUUUUGUGAAAUACUUCAGCUCAACUGGAGCUCCGCAAAAGAAACUUCUAGACUUGAGGGAAGUAGAGGUACAGGGAAUUUCCGGUGGAGCGGUGAAAUGCGUAGAUAUCGGAAGGAACACCAAUAUGGCGAAGGCACUGUACUGGGCUUUACCUGACGCUAAGAGACGAAAGCUAAAGGAGUGAUUAGGAUUAGAUACCCUAGUAAUUUUAGCCGUAAACGAUGGAAACUCACUGCCGAGCCGGUAUUCGGAGCGGUGGUCAAGCUAACGCGUGAAGUUUCCCGCCUGGGGAUUACGCAUGCAAAUGUGAAACUCAAAGGAAUUGACGGGGACCCGCACAAGCGGUGGAGUAUGUGGUUUAAUUCGAUGCAACGCGAAAAACCUUACCAAGGUUUGAAAUCAUUCUAAAACUCUUUGAAAGAAGAGCCUCCUUCGGGAUAGAAUGACAGGUGGUGCAUGGCUGUCGUCAGCUCGUGUUGUGAAAUGUCAAGUUAAGUCUUGUAACGAGCGCAACCCAUGUCUUUUGUUGCUGUUUACAGUGCUUAAAAGAGACUGCCGCUCUACAGCGGAGGAAGGUGUGGAUGAUGUCAAGUCAGCAUGCCCCUUAUAUCUUGGGCUACACACGUACUACAAUGGUAGGGACAAUGAGUCGCAAACCUGCGAAGGCUAGCCAAUCUCAAAAACCCUAUCUCAGUUCGGAUUGUAC
rnacentral:rRNA from 1 species